AUGAACGCUGGCGGCGUGCCUAAUACAUGCAAGUCGAGCGAACAGAUGAGGAGCUUGCUCCUCUGACGUUAGCGGCGGACGGGUGAGUAACACGUGGAUAACCUACCUAUAAGACUGGGAUAACUUCGGGAAACCGGAGCUAAUACCGGAUAAUAUAUUGAACCGCAUGGUUCAAUAGUGAAAGACGGUUUUGCUGUCACUUAUAGAUGGAUCCGCGCCGCAUUAGCUAGUUGGUAGGGUAACGGCUUACCAAGGCAACGAUGCGUAGCCGACCUGAGAGGGUGAUCGGCCACACGGGAACUGAGACACGGUCCAGACUCCUACGGGAGGCAGCAGUAGGGAAUCUUCCGCAAUGGGCGAAAGCCUGACGGAGCAACGCCGCGUGAGUGAUGAAGGUCUUCGGAUCGUAAAACUCUGUUAUUAGGGAAGAACAAAUGUGUAAGUAACUAUGCACGUCUUGACGGUACCUAAUCAGAAAGCCACGGCUAACUACGUG
rnacentral:rRNA from 1 species